ACUACAUAUUGCACCUUUAAAAGGCGUGAAAACAGAAGCGUUUUGUCAUAAUUUCACAAAACAUUAUGCCCUGACAGACAUGAGCCGUGAUAUAAACUUGAAUAUAUACAUUUAAAAUGAUACUAACAACAACCCUAGAGUUCAGCUAGACGUUUCUCCUGUGGGAGAUGGGUCUAGCAAUGAGAGAUUACCAACCCAGGAAUACCUGUCUGCGGUCUGUCAGAGCCAUUCAAAUCCAAUCAUCAUAGUGACAACAACAACACAUCCUGAACGCAUGUACACCCUCACGGACACUUACGCGUCAGACCUUAUCUGAAUGCUCCGAGAGAUGAUGGGCUGAGGUUUAAUGAGAACGUGACAGUUCUAGUCAAGGUAUACACUAACCCGAACAUCAAGGCACUGAAAUGCUUUCACAUUUCCACAUAUGAAUUCCACAGAAUAUACAAUAUAAUCUAAUGAAGCGAAUUCUACGGAGACGCUUGCCUUCAAGGUCUGAGCUUUAAGAGGCGGAAGCAGAGAAUGCACUGUUAAUAGAAAGUCUUGUCACAGCUCCAGUCCAUCUCCACUCUCCAUUCAUAUCUGUCUCCCUUAUCUUCUCUCUGCUGCUUCCUCUCCAAGCACAACCUUUAUUUGCGAUUUUUUUCUCUUUUUUCCCCCCUUUUUUUUGCUUUUGUUCUCUCUCAUGCAUAAUCUGUGUUCUUUCCUGUCCUCACUUUAUUUCCCCCGGAGACAAUCGCUCUCUAUCUUUCCCCGGCUACUCCUCUCACUCCAUCGCUCUCCACUGCUCAGUCAGAAUAACAGCAGCGAUCUAUCAGAACAUUUUCUGUAACCAGAGGGCAAUUUUCUGGACCUGGCAGAGCAUCAGCCGUUUGCUAUACUGUACCAAGACGCUGUUGUGAUAAUAACGCCGAGAAAUCUAAUUAACACAGUAUAGUGUAUGUGCUAUAGCAGCAGAAGCAGAGAUACUAAAGCUGCAACAGUCCCGCUCAUGCAAAUUCAUGAGAUUGCCGCAGGGCUGUGCAUGACUGACACGGGCUGAGGGGAAGGGUGCAUGUAAAUAGUGGUUCAAGAAAAAAGGGUGUGCUCAGUGAUUAAGUGGACACACAAGCUCGGGACUCCAAUCAGGCCAAAUCAAUGUGAACUAAUCCUGUGGCAAUUAAGAAACCGUGGUUCAACGCCCAAGACCUAAUUCAAUUUCUCUCUGGGUUCUCGCUGUGGAAGGAUUGAUUGAAAGUCCUGGAUAAGAGCCAGACGACAGUGAAGUUAUGAGAGAUUUUUUUUUUUUUUUUCUUUUCACAGACAGCUCUUGGCAUUUAAGUCUACACUGAUCGCAGGUCAGACGUAAGUGUGUCUCAGUGUAUCGGCCCCAUAGCUCAAUGCUCGGCGGUGCUUUGAGGAAAUGAUAAAUGGGAUCCGGGUGAGAAAAAGGAACAGGAAGGCGGCUGAUGAGUGAGACGUUAGCAGUGUCGAUGAUGAUACUUUUUCUUCACCCUGAUUAGCCUCUCUUUUUCUUUUUUUUUUACUCUCAUCUCUCUCUCAUCGUAUUUACCACUGGAAUUAAAAUGGGAUCUGUGGAUAUGUGAUCCUGGUGAUUAACUAUCCGAUCUUGCCUUCGCAUUUACGCUUGUUUUUUUUUUUUUCAGUGCAUCCUCGUCUUCAUUAUCCUCAUUGUGGUGUAAUUUCUGCGCUCCACAGCAAAACCCUGCAUACAGGAGCGUGAAGCUCGGCGUGGUUGUUUUGCCCGAAGCAAGAGGCAGACGGCAGGAGAGGAAGAGUGCAGGGCAGCAGGCAGAACCUAUCAUAACACACACCGUUAAGCCCUCACAUGGGGUGAAGAGGGGCAGAGAGACAGAGGGAGCGAGAGCAACCCUCUCGCCAUCCACCGCGAGUAAAGUGGGACCGAAUGAGCAUCCAGAUCACCGCUUGGAUGAGUUACAGCUGAGGGACAGAUGCAUUGAACAGCUCAGAGG